UCCAGCCGCGAGCCAGCGAGCGAGCCGAGCUCUGGAAACCAGCGGCGCGCUCGGUGCGCAGUCGUUCGCUUGCAAAGGAUUACAACCCCAGCGCCCAGAACAGCCGACUCGAACCUUGUUUCGCGGGUGCGGCUUUUUAAUUAUUAUUAUCAUCAUCAUCAUCAUCAUCACCGCUGUUGUUGUGCAUAUGUGGAGACGGGAACGCUGGAUUGUUUGGCUGGGAUCGGAGGAGAACUCUCCGCCGACGGAUCCGUCAGCUCGGGCUAGGUUGUGGCGGGGAAUUAAAUACACUGAUCGCCCUGAAUCCGAUUAGGCCUUUUGUCUGGAUCAGCUGACUGCGACCCUGCAGUAUAAUAGGCUGUGUGAUCUGAAGCCAAGGAUCUUGGACCGGUAGCAGUUCAGAGACUGAAAGACUAGGAGAUUACAUCAGAGGCUGCAACUCUGGCCUGACAUCUGCUACAUUUAAAGAACGAAAAAACCCAGCAGCCGGAGGGGAACGGAACAGCAGCCGCGGGACAGCAGCCGCGGGACAGCAGCCGCGGGACAGCAGCCGCGGGACAAAGCGGGACCACGGUGAUUGUUGCAGCAUGACCAGCCUGCUGUGAACCUUUAAAUGAGAAGACGGGGUUCGGUCCGGUUCCUUCGUGGUGGCAGCUUUCGGUUUCUGAGGAUCGGCUCAG